UACGGAGGGUGCAAACGUUGCUCGGAAUCAUUGGGCGUAAAGCGCACGUAGGCGGCCUGACAAGUCGGGUGUGAAAGCCCUGGGCUCAACCCAGGAAGUGCACUCGAAACUGCCAGGCUUGAAUAUGGAAGAGGGUCGCGGAAUUCCCGGUGUAGAGGUGAAAUUCGUAGAUAUCGGGGGGAACACCAGUGGCGAAGGCGAGUCCCUGGACACUUCCUGACACUGAGGCACGAAAGCUAGGGGAGCAAACAGG
rnacentral:rRNA from 1 species